UAUCAGUAUCAAUUCAUUAUUAGCAGGCAU
rnacentral:piRNA from 1 species